AGGCCGAUAUCAUAUGGUUAGGAAAAUAAAGAUCGUCUGAAUUACAUGGCGAAGAUCAAUAAUUACGAAUUUGACUAUAGAUUUCUGAGCAAAGGUGUUGUGAAUUAAUUGAUUAAUUUAAUGAGACCAUAUUUGAGUGUAACGUCAAAAAGAUUCAAAUAUAGGAGAGGAAUUUAGAAAUAGAAAAAGAGUAUUUUGAAUGUGUAAUUUGUGUGCAAUGCAUCAUUGAUGUUUCAAAAUGUUGUUGCUUGAUGGCCUGGGUCUACUCAUGAUACAACUAUAAUUAACCAUUCCGAUUGAAAAGAUGCAUUGGUGUUUGUAAAAGAAGACUCCCUGUAUAUCAUUGAAAAGUAGAUUAAAACUAGAAAAUAUGCAAGCUGUUAUUAUAGCUGCCAUGCUGCAUAAUAUCGUCAGAAGUAUGAAUUUAGAAGAAUUAGAAUCAGAAAUUUCAGUCGCAGAUACAUUACAGGAAAAUAAUAUAAUUGUUCGUAACAAUUUUUCAAAACUUACAUCUGAAAUACAACUAUGUACUUAUAAAUAAAUGCUUCCAAUGAUAAUUUAUAAAAUAAACUCCAAAGAUAA